AGGUAAAUAGCUGCUCAACUAAACACUUUAUAAUUUAUAAAAAGGCCCCUUAUUAUAACUCUAAUAUCUCUUACUCUAUAUAUAUUGUAUGCUCUAACAUUUCUCCGAAACUCCUUGGCUUCGUCUGACUGUUCAACAAAUAACUCAUAUAAUUGAGCUGAAAUAUCCGUAUUUGCUAAUUUGAUAAGACCCAUUUGGGCAGCAAAAUGCCGGAGGCUCAAAUUGAAACCUAUUAGCAUGACAAUAUUUGCAUUCAGGUGCACUUUCCAACUUAUAAGUAUGUGAUAUUGAUAGUUUGCAAGAAACUUGUCGUAAGACAAACAUAUACAGAAAUUAAUACAAUCUUAAAUCUCUUUAUUCAAUAGAAACACAAAGUACACGGCAAGUCUUUUGAUAAAGCCUUAAAUAGACAAGUUAUUACUUCAGGGUGCUUCCUAGGUCGUUUGUAUUUUGUACUGUUUGAUUCCAUGCCAUACAUUUUUAAACCCUUUUCAUUGAGGCACCUAAUUGCCAAUUUUCUACAAUAAAAAGAUAAUCUAAAAUUUGUAUCGCAGAAUUGGAUUGAUCACUAUUAAAUGUGAAGAUGUAGUAAGACUGAUAUGUCCAAAUUUGUAUCGCAGAAUUGGAUUAAUCACUAUUAAAUGUGAAGAUGUAGUAAGACUGAUAUGUCCGCGACAAUCAUAAGAAGCGGUAUUUUGGUGUAAUCAUAUUUAUUCAACCGGUACUGUUGUGCUUGUUUAAGUUCAAUGAACUUUUUGACUUCUAUCAUGUAACCUUCUAUAGUUUCAACCAUUAUUUGAAGAGAAUAAAUUAUUUAAAUUGUCUGUAAGAAUGUGGGGAUAAUCAUGAGCAUACCUCUCAAAUUUAGUAACGUAUAGUUGAAUUAACAUACCAUUCCUAAUUUGCAUCGUUGAAUGAUUAAGUUGUUUAUCAAUAUUUUCAGUAUGCACAAAUGCUUUCUCUUUCUUCCUACAAAAUUUAUUACAAUUACAAUACCAUAUUUAAUUUGCUAUGUAUACUGUAAUGAUAAGUAAUGAGUAUAUUAUGGUUACCUGAAAUUUUCUGUUCUCCUUCACAAUGGUUUUGUAUGUUUGGCUUUACCGCAGUUAAACUAAUGUAUUUAUCCAUCCUCCGAAUGGCAUAAGCUAAUUUCCGUUGUUCUACCAACGAACAACAAAGAAUUAUAAAUUAAUUUUUAGCAUAUGCUCAAGAAUAGGAAAUAUCAAUUAUUGUUGUUGUUACCUUGUUCUGCCAUCUGUCUAAAUUGAACAAAUAUCCUGUGUCAUAACAGAAAACUGGUAAUAUCAUAAUUUAUCUUAAUUAGAUAAUCAAAGUAAUUCUCCAAAGAUAACAUAUACUUACUAAAAUUAAAAGCUAGAUUAUUAUAGGUUCUUUCUAACUUGAAAAACCAAAGCAAUAAAGAAAUAUAUUAAUCAGAAGAAAUAAUACCUUCUGCAAUUGUUGCAGAGAAUCGCAAAGUUUGCGGUAUUAUGUUAUAGAGUGAUACUUGUCAAUAAGUUUAUGAUAGAGAAUAUGGAACAGUGGCUUCUUUUAUAGAAGUGUUUUGACUCCCUUUUUCUAAUAUAAUAAGUUCUCAAAUCAAAUUAGUAAUAGGAAUGGAUUCGGACAAUAUUAGACUUUGCCAAAUAUAAGAAAUUUUAAGAAGUAUGACACAGUCCUAGAGGUAUUAGUAUUAGGUGUAGGAUUUGGACAAUAAAUAAGAGAUUGUCAAAUAUAGUAAUAUUUAGAAUGUAUAGCGUGUUUCUCAAAGGUAUUGGUAUUGAAUUUAGGGAAUAGUUGAAUGUGCUAACGUGUAGUAUAUAAUUGGUAUAAAAAAUUGGAUUAUUAUAGGUCCUUUUGAGACUUGAAAGACCACUAAAUAAAUAUGAAAACAAACAGAAAUUUUUUCAUGACUUUGCAGUCUUAGUGUAAAACUUCGAUUGCCAGCUUCAAAAUUUUGACAAAUCAAUUUUCAACAUUAAAACACCUUCAUGUCUAACAUAAAAACACCCUCAAUUCUAUAUGGUACAAACUAAAAAGUAGUAGACAUCUAAUGCGUAGUGUAGUGAGAUUAAAGAGCUAAUAAUAUAUCUCGA
rnacentral:lncRNA from 1 species